CUCGCAAACAGUCCAGAUAGGUUUGGUAAAGCUGGGGGUUUAAGAAAAAUAUUUGCAUUUUCCUACUGACUGCAGUCUCCUAUUGGAAGUUGGAGCACAGCAUGGACCUCUUCUUCUAGAGCCGGCUGGCCUGUCCGCAGACCUCCGGUGCUCACUCUCCAGCUGUCUCACUCUCAGCCUGCGAUCCUCUCAGGCGCUCAGAACGCAGCUUCCCAGAGCUUUCCCCACAUAGCAGGUACCUUUCCCACAUGACUUUUCUCCUUGUCAGUGAUUUUUCUUAUCCCUUUGUUCUUUAUCCUUCUUUUUUCCCUUUCUAUGUUUUCCUUUAUACUUCCUUACAUUUUUAAUUUAAAUUUAGGAAGCCCUUGUGCUGUGUCGCACUGUGAUGAUUAACCCAGCUCACAAUCCAAGGCAAAUGCUCCUGUCACAGACAAAGAGCUCCUCUCCUC
rnacentral:lncRNA from 1 species